UUACACGAGGAGCCUGACUGACUGAAGUUGCUUCAGCAGAAAAUGUUGUCAUAACUGCUAAUUCAUUCAAAGGCUAUGUUAAUGCUUGUCCUGAUAUAUUGAACUCGGACUUAUUUUAUGCUUUCAGAAAUGGGAGUAGCAGUAGCAGUAGCAAAGUGUUUCUUCUGUUUUUGUCUCUAGAGGCCUACAGGAAAUCUAGGUAGCAGAACCAAUACAAAUAUCAUAAAAUACAGUAUGUAAGAUAUGCUUAUGUGGUUGCCACCUAGUGACCAAAGGGCAAAAGCGUUUCUUUGAGGGGAAAAGUUGGAACUGCACACCCUCAAGGCUUGUUUCUUUUCUGGGGAAUGGUUCCAAGAUGGAUGCCAGGCUGAUAGCAGUACCUCAGAAGCCAAAAAAUAAAACCAGUUAUUGUUCGUUUUUAGUGUAUUUCUUCAUCUUCAUGUAUUUAAAUACAUUAAAGUACAAAUAGUCAAAAGAACCAAAAAGCACUAAUACAAAACGUCAAAUGCAAUGACAUUUAAAGGAGCAGUAGUCAGGGGGUGGGGUGGGAGAGAAAUCAAUUUAAAGGCCACUGAAAGAAUUGUCUUCAGUUUCUGGCGAGAGGCACUGAAGAUGGCGACUGAUGGAUCUUGAUCAGGAGGAAAUGGAGGCGUUAAACCUUUCCCUUGACAAAUACGAACACCCUGUACUUACAGGAAUGCACACCCCAUUCUUUAAAUUCUGAUAAAAUUAAAUCUCAUUCCUCACACUUUACACAGAGAUACAGCGCAAAUUCAGUAAGUUGCAGAAUGAUGAAUGGAAGCAUCCCACGGAGAAAUAUUUAAAUUGUCACAUUAGAAAAGUCAUAAAAAAUAAAAAUAAAAAUGCGUCAGCCCAGGAGAGAAGUUGCUUUUUAAGAAGCCUAAGAAAUAAUGGCCACAACUGGUGAUUGGAUGAACACAAUGAGAAUGAAGAUAAAGAACUGGAAGUCUGAUCUUUUCUUUUGCCCUCAUAAAGAAGCUCGGAACACCACAGUGGUGCCUGAACUCAUAAAUAAAGCACAAAAGAGACUUGAACCUUGGUCUUCAACAGCGCGAGGUAAAAUGUCAUUGCAUGAGAUAUUUUUACAUGAUUGGUUAUUGCAA